UGCCUCAGUAACGGCGAGUGAAGCGGCAACAGCUCAAAUUUGAAAUCUGGCCCCAGGCCCGAGUUGUAAUUUGCAGAGGAUGCUUUUGGUGCGGUGCCUUCCAAGUUCCCUAGAACGGGACGCCAGAGAGGGUGAGAGCCCCGUACAGUUGGACACCAAGCCUUUGUAAAGCUCCUUCGACGAGUCGAGUAGUUUGGGAAUGCUGCUCAAAAUGGGAGGUAUAUUUCUUCUAAAGCUAAAUACCGGCCAGAGACCGAUAGCGCACAAGUAGAGUGAUCGAAAGAUGAAAAGCACUUUGAAAAGAGGGUUAAACAGCACGUGAAAUUGUUAAAAGGGAAGCGCUUGUGACCAGACUUGCGUCCGGUGAAUCACCCAGCUCUCGCGGCUGGGGCACUUCGCCGGCUCAGGCCAGCAUCAGCUCGCUGUCGGGGACAAAAGCUUCAGGAACGUAGCUCUCUUCGGGGAGUGUUAUAGCCUGUUGCACAAUACCCUUCGGCGGGCUGAGGUACGCGCUCCGCAAGGAUGCUGGCAUAAUGGUCAUCAGCGACCCGUCUUGAAACACGGACCAAGGAGUCAACCUUAUGUGCGAGUGUUCGGGUGUCAAACCCCUACGCGUAAUGAAAGUGAACGCAGGUGAGAGCUUCGGCGCAUCAUCGACCGAUCCUGAUGUUCUCGGAUGGAUUUGAGUAAGAGCAUAUAGGGUUGGACCCGAAAGAAGGUGAACUAUGCGUGUAUAGGGUGAAGCCAGAGGAAACUCUGGUGGAG
rnacentral:rRNA from 1 species